GAUGAACGCUGGCGGCGUGCCUAAUACAUGCAAGUCGAGCGAACGGACGAGAAGCUUGCUUCUCUGAUGUUAGCGGCGGACGGGUGAGUAACACGUGGAUAACCUACCUAUAAGACUGGGAUAACUUCGGGAAACCGGAGCUAAUACCGGAUAAUAUUUUGAACCGCAUGGUUCAAAAGUGAAAGACGGUCUUGCUGUCACUUAUAGAUGGAUCCGCGCUGCAUUGGCUAGUUGGUAAGGUAACGGCUUACCAAGGCAACGAUGCAUAGCCGACCUGAGAGGGGGAUCGGCCACACGGGAACUGAGACACGGUCCAGAUCCCUACGGGAGGCAGCAGGAGGGAAUUUUCCGCAAUGGGGGAAAGCCUGACGGAGCAACGCGGCGGGAGUGAGGAAGGUCUUCGGUUCGUAAAACUCUGUUAUUAGGGAAGAACAUAUGUGUAAGUAACUGUGCACAUCUGGACGGUACCUAAGCAGAAAGCCACGGCAAACUACGU
rnacentral:rRNA from 1 species